GGACAACCAGCCGAAAGGUUGGCUAAUACCGCAUGAGUUCUACGGAAGAAAGAGGGGGACCCGCAAGGGCCUCUCGCGAGCGGAGCGGCCGAUGACUGAUUAGCCGGUUGGUGAGGUAACGGCUCACCAAAGCAACGAUCAGUAGCUGGUCUGAGAGGACGACCAGCCACACUGGGACUGAGACACGGCCCAGACUCCUACGGGAGGCAGCAGUGGGGAAUUUUGGACAAUGGGCGCAAGCCUGAUCCAGCUAUUCCGCGUGUGGGAUGAAGGCCCUCGGGUUGUAAACCACUUUUGUAGAGAACGAAAAGACACCUUCGAAUAAAGGGUGUUGCUGACGGUACUCUAAGAAUAAGCACCGGCUAACUACGUGCCAGCAGCCGCGGUAAUACGUAGGGUGCGAGCGUUAAUCGGAGUUACUGGGCGUAAAGGGUGCGCAGGCGGUUGAGUAAGACAGAUGUGAAAUCCCCGAGCUUAACUCGGGAAUGGCAUAUGUGACUGCUCGACUAGAGUGUGUCAGAGGGAGGUGGAAUUCCACGUGUAGCAGUGAAAUGCGUAGAUAUGUGGAAGAACACCGAUGGCGAAGGCAGCCUCCUGGGACAUAACUGACGCUCAGGCACGAAAGCGUGGGGAGCAAACAGGAUUAGAUACCCUGGUAGUCCACGCCCUAAACGAUGUAAAGUAGUUGUUGGGAAGUAAAAUUCUCAGUAACGCAGCC
rnacentral:rRNA from 1 species